AACGAACGCUGGCGGCAUGCCUAACACAUGCAAGUCGAACGAGACCUUCGGGUCUAGUGGCGCACGGGUGCGUAACGCGUGGGAACCUGCCCUUAGGUUAGGAAUAACUCCCCGAAAGGGGAGCUAAUACCGGAUAAUGUCUUCGGACCAAAGAUUUAUCGCCUUGGGAUGGGCCCGCGUUGGAUUAGCUAGUUGGUAGGGUAAAAGCCUACCAAGGCGACGAUGCAUAGCUGGUCUGAGAGGAUGAUCAGCCACACUGGGACUGAGACACGGCCCAGAAUCGUACGGGAGGCAGCAGUGGGGGAUAUUGGACACUGGGCGAAGGCCUGAUCCAGCAAUGUCGCGGGAGUGAUGAAGGCCUUAGGGUUGUAAAGCUCUUUUACCCGGGACGAUAAUGACAGUACCGGGAGAAGAAGCUCCGGCUAACUCCGUG
rnacentral:rRNA from 1 species